UCGACUAUGUCAUUUACAACUCUUUAUAACUUCCAUGUUUUUUCUGUAGCCUUUCUCUUGAUCCCAGUUUUCUACAUUACUGUUGAUGAAUUCUUUUUCUAGAUCAAGUGUUCUGAAGAAGUUCAUUGUGUUAUUUGAAACAAAAUUAUUUAGACUUCUCAAAGGAACAACUUCUAAAUCAACAAUUGCUUUCAGUAGUUGAUGAUCCGAACCACAAUUUUGUAGAGCUGUCAUCAUUUUCCUGUUUGUCAUUAGUAACCCGUUUAUCAAAAAAAGAUGGAGCCACAAGAUUUUCAGAGAGGUACCAGAGAUGUUUUUUUAUUUUAUUAAAAGCCUUCUAGGCUAAAGUUUCAUUUAUAGCUUUGAAAUCUAUCAAGUCUUUUAAAAAUUGCAGGUCAUUCCGAGGAACAUACACAGUUGAAGCAGCUUGGAGCCAGUUCUUGAUUGCUGCCUUUCCCCUUCGUUAGCUAAAACUGAAUAUGGAAAAGAUAAAUUUUUAAUGAAUAUGUAGGCUUUAGUCAUCCACCUUGCUCUAUGAACACCGGCAGGUUCUUUGAAUGACAGUUGUUUUUCUAGUUCUCCUCCAAGAAGAAUGAUGUUCGACUCUAGAAAUUCUUUAUUAUCAUCUCUAGGUUGGAAUUUCUGUAACUAAUCUUUGGAAAAUGCAAUUAUUUUUUGGGUAAAAUCUGUAACAGUAUCACUAGCUAGAGAGUCAGUAGUAGCAAGUUCAAAAUCAUGUUAAUUUAUCUGUGGCUAGAAUUUCGUGAACAACUUAAACAAUGAUAUGUCUGGCCCUGUUAAUGAUCCAAGUUCUUGAACAAUUACUGCUUCUAACAUACUUACUAAUAUGUGGUGGCGGCAUGGAAACCACAACAUUCGUUUUUAUAUUUUUUGUUAUAAUAAAGUACAUGCUCUACUACAAAAACCUGUAUUAACAGCAGUUGUGUCAAAACACAUACAUUCAACGUUGUCUGAGAUUCCCCAUAAGGAAAUUUCUUCAUAAACAGUAGUCGCUAUCAGUUCUCUUGAGUCUGACUCAAGAUUUGGAACCUUAAGAGUUGAUUAUUAUUUUGACCAGAUACACGGAUUGGAAGGAGAUCCACAAUUUCGUGUCCACUUACAUCUUUUUUCCCUUCCCAAUGCACAGUCAGAAGAACAUCAGGAGAGAAAUCUGGUUUUAAAUUUUUUUGCUAUGACAUCUCGCUUCUUAAUCCUCUCUCGACGUAUUCCAAACAUCAAAUCAUUUUAAAACCAUGAACAAUGUAAUUUUUAGUCAAUCACUUCAAAGUGAUUGAUCAUUUGCAUUCAGAUAUAUUUCAUAAAAUCAAUUUUUCAAAAUCUGUAUAAUUUCAAAUGUAUGUAUUUGAAACACAACAUUAAAUUGUACAGGCAUAAACUUGUUUGUUUAUGUUCAGGUAUAUUUUGUUCAAGAAUCAUGUAACGGGAAUACGGUCUAUCAAUAUUUUUAUUCUAUUCCAUGUCAGGAGAGAUAAGCUAACACAACAAAAAGUAACUUCUUUCUUUGACUUCCUCGUAUAUUUAUUAUAUGUCUAAUUAUUGAAUAUUAUAUUUAAUUGAAUAAUAGAUAAAUUCUCGAGAGGUGUCAAAAGUUACGUAGUGAUUAGUAUUGAAAAUGGUUGGCAAUCACCCUAAACGCAAUUAGUUAGUAAUGAAUUAACUAUUUUGCUUUGAAAUUAGCAAUUUCGUCGAAUGUUAAUGACGAAUUUGCAUAGGAGCGGGUACCUUUAUUUGAAUAUAUCGCGAUAGCUGGCGGGUUUAAUGAAACGUGAAACGAAAUACGAUUAUAUUGAAUUCUGUUUUAAUUGAAAUAUGAAUUCAAAUCGUUUUUAAUAAGAAUUUGGAAUAUUGGAAUAUUUCUUGAACUCAGACAAAUGAAUAUGACAAUUAAAAAAAAUAUGAAUUGGGUUUUAGAUACACAAUACGCAAAAUAUUUGAUAUUAUCAAAGACAAAACUAUAAAUAGAAUCAAGCCAACGAUUUAAAAAUUUCACAUGAAUAUUCUAGUAUGGUAGACCACCGUCCUUAUUUGAAUCUGUUUUCAACUGAAGGAAGAGAUAAUUUUCUAGCAUAUCGAGAUACAAUAUUCCCGUAACAGUACUUCUAGUAAAUCUUAUACUUUGGGCUGUAAUAGAAUCAACACUAUAUGUGAUACGAAAUUCACGUUGCACGGAAAUGACAGACUCGCAUCUAGCAAAAACACUGCUAUCUAGCGGUAACUACGUAAAACACCACAGCCUCCUCUCUCAGGUAUAUUUCGGUUACAUCGGGUCACGGUCUUACAUACAGCUCUUGAAAUGGAGACCUAUCUCUACAGAGCGAAGUGGUUCUCUUUAACUGUUUGAAAUAGCCAUGUCGCGGCGGUGAUAUCUAGGGAUGGACGUCGGUAGAGGAAAGGAUGGAAAUGUGAAGUUGAAUAUUUAAUAUUUCUAAGCCUCGAUCACAACCUCAGUCUGGCGGCAACAGAGUGAGAUAACUAAGAGCCAGUAAAAUGAACCACCCCCUCUACUUUCGUUUUAAUAGCUGUAUGUGAGACCUUGCAUAUCGGAUUCAUAGAUGAAUAGCUAAGAUUAAAUAUUAUAAAUAUUAUAACUUUAGAAAAACCUCGUAUGUACAGUGUGAGUAUUAAAAAAUAUGUGAAUAGUAUUAUGGAGUAACUCUGAACAUUUCUUUGUAAAAACUUAUGCCGGCUAUGUUACAUCUUUUCUGUGGACGACAAUAAACAAAAUAAUUGUGCCAAUUCUCAGUUCAUAAGUAAACAAUCAAUUUAAUUGUGAUUAACCAUUGCAAUUGUCAAAUUCAUUCUCAUUUCAAGGAUGUAUUUAUAAUCCAGCUGCGGUCUAUGAAUUCUUACAUAAAAACGUUUCUUAGUUAGUGAUUUCCAGCAGGUAUAAUUUUGUAUAACUAUUUAAUCAUAGAAACUGGUUGAUUUUUGUUAGGUUAGAUGAGUUAGCUACGACUAGGAAAUAGUGAACCUACUUUGAUCUAUUGAUCUACUAUCUACUCUGGAUUGGUUCAUCAGUCAGGGAGCAACGACUUUGUUACCUCUCUGGGGGCUAUGCGGAUAACCUCUUCUGUUCCUUAGAGAAGCGACGACAAGAGAUGUCGGGAAUUUCUCCAAUAUUCUUCAGAUGUUACUUCACCGGAUAGUGUUCAGAAAGCAUACCAGUAACUCUUCUCAUCUCAUCUUUAUUCAUUGAAAGGGCCUUUUCAGACCAAUUAGAGAAAUAAGAAAAAGAUCUUUUCAAUUGUUUUAGAGCUAAUUUCUUCUCAUUUUCCCACUUUUUCAUGAAAUUAUGAGUUUUAAGUACAACUAUAAAAAUUAUAGGUGUAGCUUUAACGAAUGGAAGAAAAAUUUGAGGUUAUGAAUAAAAAUAACUUUGAUAUACACGAAUAUCUGAUUUUUAUUACUUUUUUGUGUGUUAAUUCUUCCAGGAUAUUCAUUUAGUUUUAUAUUAGAUCUUAGAUGUUGAUUAAUUGUUAUUAUCAACGAAUUAAGCCCUUACAAGGAUUUUGCACUUAAGUUCAAUGCUGAUAAGCUUUUUUAUGCUAAAAUGCCGACAAUUAUAAAACCACAAAUUUCAGUAACCUAUCAAUGACGCUGCUCUUGAGAAUUAAUAGUAGACAGCUAUUUAAGGCGAAUAAAUAAUUUUAAGUUUAAAAAACUAUUGACAAGUGAAACAAACCGUCAGCUGAACACAUUUUCCCACCGGUCUAACAGGCUAUAAUCAGAUCAGUUUCCGAACAACAAUGUACGUGAUCCGGGUUAGUUUCCGAACAUUCAGAUCAUAUACGGUUGAACCCGAUCAUAGUAUCUGAGAAUUCCUAAUACAACGCUUUCUUGAAAUUAAAGGGGCAUUAGUGAGAAUUUCUAAAAUAAAAAGGCUGUAUUCUAGAACAAUUGAGAAGAAAGCUGAUACAACUCAAAAUAACAAUUAUAAUCGCGUUAACUGUAAAGUAUGGAGCUAGCUCAAAAAUUAUUUUUCCCGGAAUUUGGGAAAAAUAUUUUUUUAAUGUUCUAUUAUGGAACAAUAUAGAGCAAACCUAAAACAACAUAGAACAAUUCUUAGUGCUAUGCCGUUUUAGAAAAAAACUAUAGCAACCUUCAUAAUUUUUGUGACUCCAAAAUGCGGUGCGAACUUCUUUGGGGUGUAAUUGUAUGUUAAAGAAUAACUGGUAGAUCAAAGCUACUUGGUCUUGGGUUUUUUCUUAUUAUUCUUAUUACUUCUUUCGAAGUUUUCGGAUAUUUUUAUAAACGAAUAUAGAAUAUUCAUAUAAUAAGACAUUACAACAAAUUUUUUCCCUUAUACAUACAGAGUUUAACAAGUUUUUUCUAAUACAUUAACGUAAUAAUCCUUCUGCAAAAAUGUAACAAUAUUUAACAUACACAUAUGUUGAAUAAGUUGAAGAAGUGGUAUUAAAGCAUAAACUUUUAUAGUUUUUCGUAUCGUCCACAAAAGGAAAUUCCCAAGACGACCAGUUUGGAGUUUAAUGGUUACCAUAAACGUAUCAGUGAAGUUUAUGAUCAAUCUUCGGUAAUAAUUUUGUCAGGAAAAUAUAUAGAAAUAAAUUAAUACUAAGAAUUGCGUAAAAAUAAUCCUCAAAUAACCUAAGUAUGUGAUAUAAAUAAAAAUAGAAAUUUUUUUAGAAUUAUUUGUAUUGCGUAAAAUAUACGAGAAUGCAGAUCUAUGCAAACACAUUGCGUACUUACACUUUAAAUGAAAUGAUUUUUUUAUUUUUAAUAAUUAAGUGCUUAAGAAAUAUUAACAAUCGUAGCUCGUUUUUUUCGAUACCUCGAAAAUUUUUUCUGAUGUUCUUAUUUUUCUGAAUCUAUAUUAUCCAUUAUUCGAAGUAAAGAUAGCAGUUUGCCAUAAAUAUUAAAUUGGAAAUCAACGAACCGCCAGUAGUAAUGGUAUCAAGGCACAGUGUAUUCUGAAACAUCGACCUAAAAAAGCUUUUGCUGGUCCUAACCUUCAUUAUCCAGUUUUGGUCAACGAAACGUUUACCUUCGGUCUCUGAAGACCAUCUCUUGGUUAUCAAAACAUGUGUCAGACAGCGUAACUGUGAGUGUUAGUUCAGUAGUAUGUUCAAAACAAAACGUUAUUGAAGAAAAAAUAUGUGAAAAAACACGUUUGCAUAAUGAAUAAUUGAAUGAAAAUGUAACCUAUUACAUUUUUGUCCUACAAUAUGACAUCCAUGUAAAUCGGUCUAGGAAGUAAAACAAGAAACUUGAUAACUAUUUGUAAGGAUUGUUAACACAUAGAAGAAAUAUUUAUAUACUGUACUGGUAAUAAGCGACACGUUAUUUGAAAUUUCUCAAGCAUUACAUCUUUAUAGGCAUAACUAGAAUUUCUAAUAACGAAAAUAAUACAAUUGUUACUAAUCUAUGACUGUUUUAUCAAGUUUCAUUUUGUUGAUCUUUACGUUCAAUCCAGUUAAUAAAGGAUCCAAUCUUGUAAAAAAUCCUUAAAUUGAUCAUUCAAGUUUCAAACGGUAGAUUCUGACUAGUACUUUGAAAUUCGAAAAUAUACCUACCAGAUAGAGAGCCUUGAAAAAUCGCCCAAAAGUUCUGUCUAUUAGUUUUCCUCCAAUAUCUCAAAACAUGACAUUUCGAGAAUUUUUAUUUAGGAAAAAAAUGAUGCUCAGUUCAAUAUCUACGAGAGUUGCUACUUGUUUCGAGAUAUGGCACUGUCAGAUUUGACUUAUUCAGUUUAACAUUUUUAAUGGUAAACAUGUUACCAUAGGAGUGCUAUUUGAGUUGUUCAGAGAUAUUUGAGGCAUUGGUCAAAAAAUGGAAUUAAAUCACGUACAUUUUCGUACGAUGAUUUUCUAUGGCUCUCGACGUGGAUUAAACCAACAGUAAGAGUAGUAUGCCGAUCAACUUGCUCCGACUUUUGGAGAUGCAUCCUCUCAAGCCACCAUGUUUUGCUAGUUUUCCGAAUUCAAUCGUGGUAGCAUUUCGCUUGAGGAUGAAUUUCGUAAAAGUUCAAAAUCGGUUGUCAUGCCAAAAAACAUUGAUGCUUGCACAGGUAUUCUUGCUUCUCGGCUUUUUGUAAUUCAAAUGAGAAACCUUUGUUAUUUCUUAGCACCUACCAAAAAAAGGUAUCGCCUAAUUUGUAUGAAAAAACUUUUGUCAGAUAAAUCGAAAAGCAAGGUUCUCAGUUCUUACCUUCAAAGGAUUAUCUCCGUUAUUAAUCAGUUUUAGAAACUGUGCAUAAAUAAGUACAUUUAUUGGGUACCAAAUACUUAUCAGUUCUAGAAAUUAAUGCACUUAAUUCUUGACCACAUGUUACCAAUUCAGAGCUGAACAAUGAAAACAGAUCUAAUUGGAAAUAAUCAUUUCAUUUUCUCAAUUAAAAUGUUUUCUUUUUUAUAAAUUGUAAGAGACACAAUAUAAAAGUGGCAGGCAUGUGUUCGUUUAUAGAAGUUUACGAUCUCCAUUCAACAUCAAAAGGCACUUUAAUAAACUCUAUACGUGUGCAGGUUAUACCGAAAAAGAAACGUUAAACUGAAGGUAUUGUGAUGUGUUUUGAGACUGACAACGCAAUAUUUAUUCAACACUGAAUAUUUGACUCCUCUUUCAGUUUUAUAUUGUAAACUUUGUUUAUCUUUCUAAACCAGUAGCAUGAAUAUAUAGUAUUUUGAUUAGUUGGAGUCAAUUGCCUAGAAAAUGAUAUAAAAGAGAGUCUUCUCAUAGAAAGAGUUGUAUUAUUAGAAUUUUUGAAGAGUCAUUUCUUUUCUGGUAAUGUGACAUUCGAUACUUAUCAAUGAAAGGGUUUAAUUGUGUAUGAGAUACAUAAAAAUUUUUUUAAUAGGUGAAGUAAAAUUACAUUUUCUGAGAAAUACUCACCCGCUUUUAGUGAUUAUUAUUAGAUUCAGUCAAUUUAUUACCUUCUAUACGAGUUUUGGUGUUAGUUUUUAUCAUCCGGUAAAUAUAGCACGUUCCGAUUAAUAUUUCCACUUCUUGAAGUAGCCCUAGUCAGUUUUCACAACUUCCUUCAGUGCAUUCUUCGUAAAGAGCCAAAAGGCGGAGGGAAUUAUAUCAAGGCUGAUACAACUGUACUUUUACUGCUGUACAAAUUUCGAUGAAUGGAGUGAUGCAGCCAAUGACCGUUUGUUCAAAGCUAUGGCCGUUUUCUUCUAAAUACGCAAUGCAAUCUUUUCAAUUUUUCAAUGUAAUAUUGUUUAAUGCUCUUAUUACUUCUAAAAGUAUAGUUUUAAAAUCAAAGAAAACAGUUGAAGAUAUCUUCAGUUUGCUUUGAUUUGUUUUUUUUUAUCUCGACGAUUCAUAAUAUGAUUAUCGUAUAUACUCUAAUGUAAAAUUCUAGUUAGUUUUUCAUGGUUGAAGUAAAAUUUUGAUAUCGAUGUACCGCUCAAUAUUCUCUUCGAUUACCACGCUGUGUUUCAGCAUAAAUUGAUUCCAAAGGGUACAACGUUCAAUAAGGCCGUUUUGAGGCGUCUACGUGAAGCAUUAAAUCGUAAACAACCGGAUUUGUGGUUAGAUAAUUCAUGGAAUUCUCAACACGAUUAUGAGCCAUCACAUUCCAGCAUAAUUGUCAUGAUUUUGGCUAAACACGAAGAGAGUCAUCGAUCAGCAAACGUAUUCGCCGAAUUUAGCUUUCUGUCACUAUUUAUAACCAAUGGACUCUGUACUAGCCGAGACUUGCAAGUAUAUGGAAAACUGGAUUAACCGUUGUCAUGCUUGUAUUCGUUGGGAUGAAUACUAUUUUAAAGGAGAGACUUCAGAAAUUUCAACAUGAUUAGAGACAAAGAAAGCUGGAAUGGCAAACUAAAUAAGACCCACAAAAGAAAACGACGAAAGGACGAGAUAAGCAAUCUAACAGUGAACCGUAUAGACACAAGUUACGAGAUCGUCAGCUACUGAAGAAGAAGUACCCGAUGAUGGUUUCCGCUAUUGCUGCGAAGAUGAUGGAGUAAUAGAAUGAAAAGAAUCCCAUGCGUCUAUGAAGAUAGUGGAACUAUGCUAAGCGUAUUUUCGCAGCCACAGCCACGGUUUGAACAGAAUGGAGCCACUGCCCAUACGUGUAAUGCUUUAUGGACGUUUCAAUGAUAUCUAUUGACCUGCAUGCACGUCAGAUCUUUUCAUGGAAACUUAAAAAUCUUCAAAACUCACAGUAACUAAUCACUUUCAAUCAUUAGAUAGUAUGGAAUUUGGCAAAAAGCGAAUUUUUGAAAUUUUAUAAUUUUGUUUCAAUGAAUUUAGACAACUUUUUCAAAUUUGUCUUUUUUCAAAUAUCUUCAGAUUUCAAUAGUGCGUUCCGUACGUAAAGAGUACGGUCGGUUACUUUAAAAUAACAAUACGUAUUCAGCAGUAGUAUCUUUAUAACAGAUCUUGAAAUGUAUAUUACACUUUCUUGUACAUGUAAGGAGACAUUGUUUUAUAUCGUCGAAUACCAACCAGCGUUUUCUUUAGUUAAUCGGAAACCAAAUUAUAUGUUUGUUAAAUAUGCGAUUUGGUGUUAUUGAAUUUACGUUUGAUAGCUCCUGUGAGUAGAAUUAAGCUUUCAUACUGUACCAUUUGCCCCAAAUAAAUGCUUGAAAUUUGAUUUUAAUUAAUAAGAUGACAAAUAAGUGAGAAUAUAAAAUUAUCGGUAAGUAAUAGAGAUUUACUGACCUCAGAUUUUAUCCAGUUAAUUAAAACGCUUUCAAAGCACUCGCUCCACAACAGCAACGUUUACCAUGAUUAUUAGUCUUUUUUUUAUAACUAAAAAAAUAUAGCUAAAGGAAAUGAGUACCCAGACAUGUCAGUAUUUUUUAAUUUGAGUUCUCUAGAAGUCGGACUUGUACGGAUCUACACGGUUAUUAUUCUCAAUGGAGAGAUUUUCUCAUAAACAGUUUACAGCCAUCAGUUUUAGUUUUAGUUGACUUUCGAUGCGUCUUGAGUGUGUAUAUUAUUUAGUGGGAAAGUUAUUUCAUUGCUAUUUUAAAAAAAUUGUACUAAAACAAAACUAUGUCAUCUUUCGGUAGAAUCUGAAAAUGAGACAGCCCCUGGUAAAAAUCCAGAAAAA